rnacentral:lncRNA from 1 species
CACGGGUGAGAAGGGCUGCGUCUCGAUCUUCACCUUCUCCCGCUCCACGGUCAGCUUCCCUUCCUUGGUGGUGAGCCGGAACAGCUCGUCCUCGGUGGCGUCCACGCACACGCCGUUGAUGUCGCAGAUCUCCCCCUUGGGCGACAUGGGGAGCAGCGUCUGGAUGAUGGGGUCGGAGCGGACGAGGGAGACGAACUUGGAGUAGAGGAGCUCCACCUUGUCCACCGCCUCGGACACGAACAGCGAGUAGACGAGGUCGCAGAUGGACUGGGAGUCCUUCACGGUGGGGAUGCCGUUCACCUCCAGCGUCCGCUCGGUGGGGAUGAAGGGGCGGCGGAUGAAGUAGGCGUUGCCCUUCUUGCCGACGCUGACGACGGUGUACUCGAGGCCGAGCUGCUUGAGCUCCUCGAUGCGGGUCUCGGCCUUCUUGAGGACGUUGUUGUUGAAGCUGCCGCAGAGGCCGCGCUCGCCGGUGAGGACGACGAGGGCGACCUUCUUGACGGGGCGGAUGCGGGUGAGGGGGAGGUCGAUGUCCUCCGUCUGGAUCUCCUGGUUCAUGUUGUAGAGCACCUCCACCAGCGCCUCCGAGAAGGGGCGGGAGGACACCACCGCCUCCUGCGCCCGCCGCACCUUGGCCGCCGCCACCAGCUUCAUCGCCUCCGUGAUCUUCUGCGUGUUGCGCACCGAGU